rnacentral:tRNA from 1 species
GGUGAUAUAGCUCAGUGGUAGAGCACUUGCAUAGCGUUCAUGAGGUGCUGGGUUCAGUCCCUAGUAUCAUGA